rnacentral:lncRNA from 1 species
CUAUGCGGAGACUGUGCCAUCUCUUGAUCCGUUACUUCUUUUUUCUCGCAAUGGCUUGAUCGGUUACUUCAGGAGCAAUCAUUCUCUUAGGGUGACUGUCAUGGAGGCCAGAACCGUGAUGCGCAGGCUCGCCGUAUACAUCAGGAAAAUCUAGAAAGGAAGUAACAAAGGCACGUUGCAUAAAUUUCGAAAGAAAGAUUCUCAAAACAAAAAUCUGGAAAGAAGAAAAGGUGAAGCACGUUGCAUAUUUUUCUGCAGCUAUUCAUCCGCUCAAAAGCUUGUCACUCUCAGACAUCGGUGACGUGCGUCAGCUGCAGGAUAAAUCAGUGUACGUAUAUGUGAAUCACGUAGGAAUCCAGCCGCCGGCUAGCUUCAUACAUGUCUUUUGUGAGGGCCAAAAGCACCGGCCAUCAGCACAUAUAGGCACCGGUUUGGGCAGGGCCAAAGCUUGCCUGAAAACUAUUUCAGUGCUUGAAAUUUUGAGCACUUUUAGCAUCAAAAUCUAAAACUUAUUUGUACAUCUUUCUCUACAAGAUAUUUUGACAUGGAAAUUUGCAAGAACGUACAAAGUUUGAUCAUCUUUAAUGUUGCAAAGUUUUAAAAAAUAAUUGUUCUUUAUUUCUUUUGAUUUUACUGUUCAUAGAGGGUGCCUAGGCACCCGGGUGCUAUCAUACCUUUCCCUUGCGGAGAGUGAAUUUUUUUAUUUAUAUCAGUGGGGGUUUUAUGGGUGGAGACUCUCUCUCUUUAUUUUCAUUGAUGGUGGACGUGGCAGAUGCUAUUUUGUAUGGUACAGAACCAUCCAUGUUACGUAACUUUCAUUUUUUAUCCUGACCGUACAGUCUACAAUCCAACUAUCUAAUUAAUUUUAAUGAUGUGAAUUAAGGACACGUCUUGAAAGAUGCAUCCAAUUAGUAAAUAUAUAUACUAGUCGUCUACCCGUGCGGAUGCACGUGCUAGCCUAAUUUAUAAAGAUGUAUAAUUUACUUCAUUCCAUGCAAUAAUAUGAAAUAAUAAUAAUAUUACAAAUUUGAACUAUAUGAACUAAUAACAUGCAACAAUCAAUAUUCGAUAGCAUGUAGCGAAAAGGAAUUAUCAUUAUCAGUAAAUUCACAAUCAUAUAAUUUACAUAUAUGUUCGGUUUACCAGUAUUGGAUACCAUGUUGCGAAAAGGAACUAUCAUUUAUUGCAUUGUUAAUUUAUUUUUAUGUAGGGAGCGUUGAUAGUUCUUUUCUCAUCCUAUAUACCACUGAAAGGAAAAGAUAGUAGAUGACAACAUGGAAUAUUCAACAAUUCCAUCAUCUGUAUAUUUGAUAUUUUAGUCUCAUUGAGCUCUAAAUUAUCGCCAAAUUCAUUGUAUAAACCUAGUAAUACAAAGAAACUCGAAUGGCUUCUUUGAGCUUUGAAAGAGUACAUGUUGAAGUUCUCAACAGAUGUACAUGUAGGUGUGUACUUUCUAACUUUAAAAUUUAUUAGAAUGUCUUUUUAUUUGUAUGUUGCACUGGUUGGCCAAUGGAAUCAUGUUUUUAUGUACUGGAGGAUAAUAUGCAGAGUUUGGCACCGAUUAUUUUUAUAAGAUUUUGAAAUUUCUAUAUUUUUGUUCGCUUUUCAUUGGAAGAUAAGAUGCACAAUCUAUCAUGUAUAUAUGCAGAUCUAGGAACAGUGCAUCUACAUAAUAUAUCAUCUGAAUAAUAAUUUGGAACUUAGAACCAAAGACUUGUACCAAUUUUUAGUCUGUUCAUGACUAUAUAUUUUUUCAAUCAAUCAAGUACACCAAUUAUCAUUUAAAUAAAAUAACAAAGAGAAAGACCUAAUGGGCAAUAUUACCUUGAGUAAAGUUUUGUUCAGGCAAUCAAUCACAACAACUAUACAGAGUAAAUAGCUGUCCAAGACACCAUAUGUACAGAAAUACAUAGCCAUGAGGCCUGCAUGCUAUAUAUGACCUGUUUCGUGAAUAAACAACUAUAUAGAUAGAACAGUACAUCAAUAGACAUGGACGAAGUCAUUGCUGGACAAAAUGAUGUUUUUUGUUGCUACUAUUUCAACGGAUUAUUGCUUGUCUCUGAUGGCUAGAAGUGCUAAUGCAGUGCUAUUUGCAUAGUGGUCUCGUCUCAGUAACCAUGGGGAAAAUCUGAAUAAGACCAUCGGAUUUAACACCAUUAGCUUAAAGAGAGAAGGAGGAUGAUUGGAGUUUGUCGAGUUGUCACUCACAUCAUACAAACACACAGGCAACCAGACACGUAUUAAAUCCCCAAGCAGGUUGAUUGAUUCCGGCCAUAGAUGCGCCAGUAUCGUAUGUAUGUAUGCACAACCGUAUAGGUAAUAGAAAUUCUUGCCGGCAGACAGAACACAUACUCAUAAAACACAAUUCAUAGGUUCUUGAUCGUACUGACCUGCAGCUUUGGCUUGUAAACAACAAUGAAUCCUUGUGACGUGAUCAUGCAUGGAGCUCGACUUACAUAGCCAAGUUGAAUCCAAGCAGGUUGGUUGAUUCCGGCUACCAAUGCGUAGUACGUACGUACGUCUGCAUAGUCGUACAGCUAAUAAGUGAAAUGUAAUUCAUGGCAAUAGGUUUUUGAUCGUACUGGCCUGCAGCUUCGGCUUGUGAACAAUAAUGGAUCUUUCCGACGCGAUCAUGCACAGAGCUCGACUUGACUCCUGAUUGAGCAUGCCUUGAUUGAGAUUUGCGGCCGCUUGCCAGAAACACAACGCACACGCAGACCAAUUUGAUGCCGAUUGCGCCCAUUGCCAAUUUUGAUAUACGUCGGCGGCGGCUGCUUGAUGCUAAGAAGAAAUAGGUUAGAAAGAGAUCCAUACUUAUUUUUUAGCUGGAGGUGUUCUCACUUCUGGAAAAAAUGAAUUGUAA